GACGAACGCUGGCGGCGUGCCUAAUACAUGCAAGUUGAGCGAUGAAGAUUGGUGCUUGCACCAAUUUGAAGAGCAGCGAACGGGUGAGUAACGCGUGGGGAAUCUGCCUUUGAGCGGGGGACAACAUUUGGAAACGAAUGCUAAUACCGCAUAAUAACUUUAAACAUAAGUUUUAAGUUUGAAAGAUGCAAUUGCAUCACUCAAAGAUGAUCCCGCGUUGUAUUAGCUAGUUGGUGAGGUAAAGGCUCACCAAGGCGAUGAUACAUAGCCGACCUGAGAGGGUGAUCGGCCACAUUGGGACUGAGACACGGCCCAAACUCCUACGGGAGGCAGCAGUAGGGAAUCUUCGGCAAUGGACGAAAGUCUGGCCGAGCAACGCCGCGUGAGUGAAGAAGGUUUUCGGAUCGUAAAACUCGGUUGGUAGAGAAGAACGUUGGUGAGAGUGGAAAGCUCAUCAAGUGACGGUAACUACCCAGAAAGGGACGGCUAACUACGUG
rnacentral:rRNA from 1 species